GACGAACGCUGGCGGCGUGCUUAACACAUGCAAGUCGAACGGAAAGGCCCUGCUUUUGCGGGGUGCUCGAGUGGCGAACGGGUGAGUAACACGUGAGUAACCUGCCCUUGACUUUGGGAUAACUCCAGGAAAAUGGGGCUCAUACCGGAUAGGAGCUCCUGCUGCACAGGGGGGGAUGGAAAGAUUCGGCGGUUGUGGAUGGACUCGCGGGUUAUCAGCUUGUUGGGGGGGUAGGGGCUGACAAAGGCUAUGACGGGUAGCCGGCCUGGGAGGUGGGCCGGCCACCUUGGGCCUGCGGUAGGGCCCAGUCUCCUACGGGCGGCAGCAGGGGGGAAUAUGGCACAACGGGCGGACGCCUGAGGCAGCAACGCCGCGUGCGUGAUGCCGUCCUUCUGGUUGUAAACCGCUGUCGCCUGAGCUGAAGCGGGAGUGACGGUACUGGGUAAAGAAGCACCGGCUAACUACGUG
rnacentral:rRNA from 1 species